rfam:Drosophila pseudoobscura pseudoobscura strain MV2-25 chromosome 3, whole genome shotgun sequence.
UAUUUCCUAUGAUGAGCAUUAAACUUUCGCCCCUAUCUGAAAAAUGAAACUUCUCCUGUUGAAUGCGAGAUUGGUCUUACUGAAAUUUACCA